UGGCAUUGGAUGGGCAGGGACAGGGUUGCUGCCAAACAACUCACAGGAUGGCUCCUCUUCACAGAUAAUUAGCUGGUCCAAAUGCAGUGGUGCCAAGAUUCUGAAGCCCUGUUUUGUGCCUGAAGACAAGAAAGCUUACUGUGCCAAAUAGUACUUCACUGUUCGGGACUCAGCACCACUUGAGAGGUUGUGAAAGUGGAUCUUUCCUACUUUUACUUCCCUUCAUGCCUGAACCUAAAGGACCUUUUUGAAGGAAGGAAAUUACUUCCUUUUGGAUGAAGAAAUCCUUGCAUCUACCUGUCUUGGUGUAACACCAAUGUUCUGCCAGGAUGUCUUAGGCAUAAAGAAAUAUGAGGACAGAGGCCACCCUUCCAGAGACAGAAGUGUUUCGUGUCUCCUGUUUCUGGCCCAUGGACUUGGGUAAGCAUUAAAGUGGUCAUCUCCUGCCUUUUAUGGUUCACCAGCCAAUGGGACAAAACCCUUGGAAUCAAGGAUUAGUCUGAUUGCAGGAGUCAAGUGCUUUUCUUCAGUUUGUAUUACUGGUAAGUGUCUAUUAUAAAUUGUUCUGUAAACAUCAUUCUACAAAGACUGAUGAGCUGAGUAAGUCAAUGAAAUAAUGAAUUCUAAUAAAGGCACAGUUCUCAUUUGAUUAUGAAUAUAU
rnacentral:lncRNA from 1 species